rnacentral:rRNA from 1 species
UACGUAGGGGGCUAGCGUUGCUCGGAAUCACUGGGCGUAAAGCGCACGUAGGCGGAUUGCUAAGUCAGGGGUGAAAUCCUGGAGCUCAACUCCAGAACUGCCUUUGAUACUGAAGAUCUUGAGUUCGGGAGAGGUGAGUGGAACUGCGAGUGUAGAGGUGAAAUUCGUAGAUAUUCGGAAGAACACCAGUGGCGAAGGCGGCUCACUGGUCCGGUACUGACGCUGAUGUGCGAAAGCGUGGGGAGCAAACAGG